AUUGAACGCUGGCGGCAGGCCUAAAACAUGCAAGUCGAACGGAGUGGGGACGGGUGAGUAAGACGUGGGUAACCUCCCAUCAGAGGAGAUAACACUGGGAAACAGGUGCUAAACCGAUACUGUUGGAUGGCCGCGUGGUGCAUUAGCUAGUUGGUGAGGUAACGGCUCACCAAGGCCACGAUGCAUAGCCGACCUGGGAGGGUGAUCGGGCCCACUGGUGCUGAGACACGGGCCCAAAUCCUUCGGGAGGCAGCAGUAGGGAAACUUCGGACAUGGAAGAAAGUCUUACCGAGCAACGCCGCGGGAGUGAAGAAGGUUUUCGGAUCGUAAAGCUUUGUUGUUAAGGAAGCGGUACUUAACCAGAAAGGCACGGCUAACUACGUGCCAGCAGCCGCGGUAAUAC
rnacentral:rRNA from 1 species